UACGUAGGGUGCGAGCGUUUAAUCGGAAUUACUGGGCGUAAAGCGUGCGCAGGCGGUUUGGUAAGACAGAUGUGAAAUCCCCGGGCUUAACCUGGGAAUGGCAUUUGUGACUGCCCGGCUAGAGUGUGUCAGAGGGGGGUAGAAUUCCGACGUGUAGCAGUGAAAUGCGUAGAGAUGUGGAGGAAUACCGAUGGCGAAGGCAGCCCCCUGGGAUAACACUGACGCUCAUGCACGAAAGCGUGGGGAGCAAACAGG
rnacentral:rRNA from 1 species